rnacentral:rRNA from 1 species
AACGAACGCUGGCGGCAGGCCUAACACAUGCAAGUCGAGCGAAGCCUUCGGGCUUAGCGGCGGACGGGUGAGUAACGCGUGGGAACGUGCCUUUAGGUUCGGAAUAACUCAGGGAAACUUGUGCUAAUACCGAAUGUGCCCUUCGGGGGAAAGAUUUAUCGCCUUUAGAGCGGCCCGCGUCUGAUUAGCUAGUUGGUGAGGUAAAGGCUCACCAAGGCGACGAUCAGUAGCUGGUCUGAGAGGAUGAUCAGCCACAUUGGGACUGAGACACGGCCCAAACUCCUACGGGAGGCAACAGUGGGGAAUAUUGCGCAAUGGGCGAAAGCCUGACGCAGCGACGCCGCGUGUGGGAUGACGGCCUUCGGGUUGUAAACCACUGUCGGGAGGGACGAAUGCCCCGCAAGGGGAGUGACGGUACCUCCAAAGGAAGCACCGGCUAACUCCGUGCCAA